rnacentral:piRNA from 1 species
UUUGACAGAGCUCUAGAAAAAUG